CUAGUGGCCACUUGGCCUUGCUCAAGCAGUGCCUGCAAACCUCAUCAUGUGCUCUCUGGCUGGAAGCGGCCAUCCUCCCCAGGCAGAACUGAAGUUCACUGAGGACUUCCGGAAGAAAAGCCCAGCGACACACUAACGCGAGGUAAACAUGGAACUGCUUUCUGACCCCCAGAUGCGGCGCUCAGGCCUUGGAUCAGCACAGGGGCUGCACCAUGAGUCUCACCCUGACAACGUAGAACUCAGCUCUUGCUUCUCUCCAGGAACACGUCGUCACGCUGAGUUCCUAAGUCCUCACCACCUCCUCUAAUACCAACUGGCCAUAAAGUGGGGGAAAGAAGCACAUCAAACUCAGGCCUGCUCAGGUCCAGCAUACAGGAUGGUGUUUCCCGUAAAAGCAAAAGGAAAACAUGGCCCCUCGUCCUGGAGCCACCCCGUAAUCCCAAGCAGUCAUCUCGCUUUCCUUCACUGCCGUUCCUUCAUCAUCAAAAUGCCAUAUUUGAGGACCAUAGCUGAAGUAGCCAAGUAACAUUAUCCAAUCAAGGGGAGCACCAUCUAAUGGUCACAGAGGCUGCGGCGUCGGCAGCCACACGUGUUUCGUGGAACGCACUCCCAUGCCUGAGCAAGCAGGAAAACACGCGAGGGAAGUGAUCCGGCUGAGAAUGAACUGCAAACUGAUGAACACGCAGUUGCUAAUGCAGUGUUUAUUAUUUUUUACUACAAUAAAAAUUAAACUGUACACCACGCUGGCCAGCCAACAGAGUGAACUCCACCGUCUGGAUAGCGGCAUUGGUGUCUCUGUAGCCUCGGGUUGCAGGGGACUGAUGCCAGGUCCAAUUUUAUUUGUAAAUAGGCCCUGGGUGUCUGGACAACAGAACCGGGAGGUUCCUGGGAAGCAAGAUCCAACAUGCCCAUGAGCCCAAGACGGGCCCGGGAAGUAGGAUCCCUUCCUGCAUCCCCAGGCUCCUGCAUUUCCCAAGAAAGAGGUUCCACACGCUCGCAGGAGAGUUGCCAUCACCCUGCAUCACCCGCUAGACGACAAAGUUGUGUCUCUCAAGGGAACCAGGGAACAUGGGGCAUACGGAGGGGCCUCAGGCGAGCCCUGGCAAGCUCAGCCAGGCCCUGUGACAGCAGCAGCAACCACGGCCCCCGCCUCAGAGCCGACCUCUCCUGGGGCUCCUCCAUCAGCUUUGCAAGCAGCUGGAGGAGUCUACUCCCCCCGCAGCGCCCUGCGCAAGCAGGCCUAAAUUAUGACUCAUGGAAAUCCCCAGUGCUGCGGGGAUCAGGUCGCUUUCAGACUCCCAGCAAUUAAUGGCCCUUUUGGUCAAAGGAGAAUAGGAAAAACAAAACCAGCCUGCAAGGCUAAGGGCUUCAAAACAGGCUGUUUGGUUUCUAGUAAAUUAGAGGGAGUGGGUGGAGAGGUACCAGUAAUGCUGUCCUGUACAAUGUGGUCUUCUUUGACGUCAGCAGCAGGUUUCUCUCUCCCUGUCUCCUCCUUUCCCUCCCCUCUCUCUCCCAUGUUCCCUCCCUCUUGCCUCUUUGUGUCAAAGAGACAGAUGACAUAGGGUGGCUCUGGAAGACGACUCAUAGUCCAACACUACAGUUCAGGGUCUCAGAAGACUCCCACCCUUGCGCGAAGGCUAUGGUGAGAGGUGGGCAAAUUAGCAAGACAAAAAUGCACGGGACUCUGCAGGAAGAAGGGCAGGCCCCGGAAUCAAGCAGCAAGCCCCACUGGCCGUGCAUUCCUCCUGUCUGGCCUGAGGAGCGGUUCUGUCUGAGGGAACAUUCUUCCUGUAGCACAGAACACACACUGGUCUCCAGUGGGCCUGAAAUAGUAUCCUGGAGAGCAUGCACCCUGCUCUGUGGUCACUCUUCCUGGCAGCCAGCUGGGGCUGCUGGGCCAGGGUUUCUCCUGGCUCCCCCGCUUCUUCCACCAGAGCUGUUUUUCUCCACAGCAGUGCUGCUGCGUGUUAGCACAGAGCCAUCUAGACUGAAGACUCGAGGCAGGCUGAGCGCUCUGAGCCCGGCCCUGCCAUGCUGCAUCUCCCCCUUUCAAUGGUAUCUUCCAGCCCCUCUGUUUUAACAGGGACAGCAGCUUAGACCCCUGGGAGCCCAGCCAGGUAGAGACACGGGAGUCUCUGUAGACUGGGCCACUUCCUCCGUGGCUCUCAGUUGCCACAUGGCCUCAGCAAGCCAACUUGGUCUCUGGAGUAACGUGACUUUGCAGAAAUGCUUUCCACAGGCAGCUCUGUGAGAGCAGAAAUCCAUCCCCGAGCCCUCGGGUUCUGCAGGGCGGGAGGAACAGGGGGCUGGAGGAGCAGGGGGCAGGAAGAGCAGGGCUCAGGCCUCGGGUACACAGCCUGAUUUGUCUGUGCGAGAUAUGCCGCCUCCUCCUCUCCCCUCCUCUGACCUGCACAGCAAGGCCAUCAGAGGGCCUCAGAACAAGGAGUAUUUUGUAAGCCAACGCUUCCCAAGCUGUCUGUGGGCACCGGGUCCAUGGGAAAAGCAGACUGGCAAUGGGAAAGCACAUGUAAGAGAGAACAGAGCCAGUCACAUGGGUCUAUUCAGAGAUCAGAACCUGAAACAGAGCUGUGUGUGUGUGUGUGUGAGUGUGUGUGUGUGAGUAUAUGUGUGUGUGCAUGCGCACACUUGUGCAUGUCGGGGCAGGGAGUGCUCUGUGGUAGCAUGAGCAGAAGAUAGCUUCUCAGUGAGAGCACAGGCCCAGCUCACACAGGCAUUGACACAGAUGUGCAGUGGAUGGAUGAACCAGCAAGUGAGAGAAAAGAUCUAGGAGAGGAGGAGGCCAGGGGCGGCCUCCACCAAGCUGUCUCACUAACAGUGCAGGGACCAAUCUGUGCCCGUACCAUGGGACAACCAGGAAGAAGGCGCCCUGGUGGCCACCUGACCCAGCAAAUCACCAACCGCCACUAAACCACAAUCAUGAUCUUCAGCAUCCCUAAGGGGCUAGAGUCUCCCUACUGCCUCCCUGCCUGGUCCUCGUCCUGCCUGGCUGGUAUCUGCUGUCAUCAUUCACAGCAGCAGUGUUCACUAUGGCCCGUGCAAGAGGAAAGAGCUAACUCUGCCGAGCAAGUGUUACGGCGUGUGGGUGCGGAGUGUACUAUUCCCACUCACACUGGCUGAGAGGUAAGCAUCAUGGCCCCCAUUUUACAAAUAAGGAGUUGCAGAGAAGUUAAGUCACUGGCCCAAAGUGAUGCAGUAGCAGCAAAGAGACGCUCACGCUGACAUGAGACACGUUCCUUCGAUGAAGACAGGUCAGUGAAAGCUCAGCUCCCAUUGCAGAGGAGCUCGGAGGACAUCAGGGGACUCUGCAAGCCCCACACUCUGUGUGUAUGUGCCCAUGUGAGUGGCACACGGGUGAGCCCACUCAGCCCAGGACAGCACCUUCGGCUGGCACAUCCAGCCCGUGUUCUACCAAAAGCCCGUGUUCAAAACCCACUUAUUGAAAAGCUCAUCUCUGGUUGGGCAGGACAAACGCUUGGCCUGAGGCCGUUCCAGGGGACUGUGCUUCUCGCCAGAGGUUCCUGCCCGGGAACAAAGCCCAAUAACCACACAACCGAACCCUUGGAAAGAUCAGCAGACUCAGGUGACGACAAGUUUAUUUUAAGUAAAUCAAGAGGGAGACGGGAUGUGAAAACAGUUUCUGCAAGGGCUGGGGCUCAUCCUCGUCCCUUCUCUGAGGUGGAGCCCACCCACCCAAAAGCACUGACUGGAACAGAGAGGAAGAGCCUGGUGGUCCCCAUGAACCCACAGCUGCCCAUGUGGAGAUGUGCCCAUGGGGCACAGGGGCUCUGCACAGUGGAAGCACCGCUUUGCUCAGAUCUCUCCAUGCGUCCUCCAGUUUCUGAAUGAAGACUCUGCUGCUUUUCCUUCUUGGCAAAGCUACUCUCAUUAAAAAGCCAGUAUCCUAGAAACUGAAGUGGCCUUGGAUGCCAUUCUGUUGCAGCAGACUGAACUUUCCUUGCUGAAUCAGACCCCUUAAUAUGUCAACGAUGAGUCACACACAAGUAAAUGAGCCACCAGGAGGAAGAGAGAUAACGAGGCGAUAUUUAUCAGUGGCUGUCUCUUAGCAAAUGAUGAGCAUUGCCUACCCGCUGGUCAUGUUGCUGUGCGUUACCUUCCCGACCAUCACUUAGGCACUCCUGGGAUGGUUUCUAACUGUCAAUAUUUACAGGAACUGGCCCUUCACCACCCAGGCCAAGUGGGCUGGAUGUCUCCAAGUGUGAGUCCUGACGAAGGAAGCCUUGUAUGGAAGGGUCCCUUCUCUAAGUCCUCCUUGGCUGGAGCAGACUUCGAGCCAAUGGCCAUCUGUCAGCAGAGCAGGCCUGACUGUCCAGCCAGUGCCUGGAAACCUGGGGCUCCACUUGAGAAUGGGGGCGUAGUGAUUUCUUGGGAUUCUGAAAGCUCAGGGUCACGCAUCUGAAACACAGCUACCCUCAGAAAAAGGGUGACUUACAUUCUCAUGAAGGAAAGGAUUCUGCUUGGUAAUGAGCACGGAGCAAGAGGAGGAGGGCAGGAUGCAGGGGCAGCCAUGGAGCCAGCAGAGGAAGGCGUUGAGGAGGAAGUGGGGCCAAGCACAUGGUGGCUUUGGGACAUUCCUGACGUGCUGACCCUCAGGUAAGCCUAGGGAUAGGCACGUUUGAUGGAGUGUAGAAAAGAAAGGGAAGUUGUGCCAACCACACAGAGAGACGCCACGGACUCCAGGAAGACCACGCUCGGCAGGAGGAGGCAGCAACCAUACAAACCCCAACCCGGCUCUCCAGGAAAUGUGUCUGCACAGGCAUCCCAUGCUGGCCACAGCCCUCUGGGGACCAGCACUAUGCAGCCCAGGACCAAUUGGUCGACAAUGAGCUCCUAGAAUCCCAGCCCCUUUACAAUCAAUGAGGUAAGCUGGCACUGCAGAAACCCAUGAGACGGUAGGAUUAUCAUUGCACUACAUGAUAGAAAGUGCUGGGUUCAAAAUGGCAGACUCCCUAGGAGAACAAGAAAUGGUAAGACUUCCACACUGUGCAUAGGUUCUUCAUAGGCUGGGCACGUUUGAAGUUGCCAGAUGUUCCCAGAGAUCGCAAGAUGAUUCCAAGAUGAAAUGAGCCACUGAUGGCUGCAGACAAAGAGGUCACAGCACAUGACCCUCCAGGACCACAAGGCCAAGGACAAUCUGCCCGUCGCAGUUGCAUGGGCAACCCCUGCCCAUGGGGGAGGGGCAGCCAGGAGGAAGGAUGCUUCCGAGUCUGUGAGGGGUUUCCAUCCCAUCCCAGGGCUUCUGGGGGCCUCUGCCGGGCCCUGCGUUUCAUUUCCCCACGGGGUUUCCGCUUUCUGUGGAGGGCGGAGGCCAGGCGAGGCUGAAUCGGGAGAACUCUGGAGGAGUAGAUGAAGACCCACAGCCUUUCCCGGGUCCUCUUUCCAUACUUCUCUGCUUUCGUCUCUAGAGUUUCCUGAAUCCCCAGAGCAGGACAUGUGCUGAGUGGACAGGUUGGAAGGUGGAACCAGUUUGCUGGGGCUGCUGCCACAAAGUACCAAGCCCAGGAGGCUUAGACAACAGAACUUCCUUUCCCCACAGCCCUGGAGGCUGGAGUCCAGGGUCAAGGUGCGGCAGGGCUGCUCCUCCCAAGGCCUCUCUCUUGGCUUGCAGACAACAUCUUCUCCCUGCGUCCUCACCUGACCAUCCCUCUGUGUGAUCUGUCUUCUCAUCUCCUCUUCCACAAGGACCCCAGUCACACUGGAUGAGUUCCCACCCAUGUGAUCCCAUUUUAGCUUGAUCACCUUUUGAAAGACCCUGUACCCAAGAGGGUCACACUCUGAGGUCCCGGAGAUUGGGACUUCCACCCUUACAAAGAUGAAGCAGGAAGAAAGACCAACAAAUCCGUGUGGAGCCCCCACCCUGUUUGGCUCUGGCCAGGCAACCGGGUAAAAGAACUGUCCGUGCUGUCUAUCUCACUGCACCUGAAGGAGGACAGCCCUGGAGGGAGGAGGGCAGAUCAGUUCUGACCAGAAUGAGCACGCAUCAGGCUUCCCCCAGGGCAAGAGGGCUCCACACACUGGACACAUGCUGCAUCCCGGGAAGACCAAGUCCAGAGCCAGAAGACCCUCCCAGACCACUAAGGAACCAUGUGGCCACCACUGCAGGCCCAGAGAAGCCCACCAGCACCUUUCCAGAUCAGGAACACGGUGCCGAGGUGAAGUGCCCCCAGUGAGACCAGGCCUUCCUGCUGCCCACCCUGCAGCCCCCAUGAAGCCCGGGGGCCCACAGCUGCCUGGAGCCACAGAGCAGAACUGAAAUCCCCAUGAUAGCAUUCAGGUUGGUUGUGCCGAGCAGGCUACCCACCACAGACCACAGCCAGCUGCUGGGUGACAGGAGCUGCUCCUCCCUGGGAUAAUGUCAUCCAUGAGAGGAGAGUGAAAGUUUCUACAUCCUCCCCUCCAUCCCUUAAAACACCCAGUAUUCUGUGCCCAAAACUGCACCCCUAGCAAGAAAGCCAAUUAGAGGAACAGAGAGGCUGCCUGCCUGUGGGCGUGUUAACCAGCCUGCUCCUCUACUCCCCACAGAUAACCUGUGACAUCACUUGCUUGUCAUUAUCUGUUUUGUGCAUGUUGCUUCAUCUUCAGAGACAUCUCCAGUGGGUGUUUGGGUGACUAAAAGGAGGUCAGAGUUCCUCUGAUCACCAACCAGACAGCAGGGGCAAGCCAGGUGACCCUUGGCUGAAGUCGGCCUGGCAUAAACGCAGAACCCUUCCUUUCAGUGUCUUUCAGGCUGUGCUCUCCACCUGGACUGCAGCCCCCAGUGAAUCUCCCCUGCGAGGGAGUGGCCCUUUUGUUCUUUUCCAGCACAUUCCUGCUCAGGUCCCCACGUAACCAGUCACCUGGUCUUGCCAGGAGUCUUGCCUUUGUGGCCGAGCACACAGGGCAAGAGUGGGAGUCAAGGUUUCCUCUGCUCCGCUGGGAUUUUCACGGGGUUUUUAUCUGGUUUCAUUUUCGCCAGCCUUCUGAGAACGUUCUCGUGUUCCUCCUUCACGCACCCCGUCGAUCCUCCAAGGCAUUCUGCCCAGAGAGCCACACAGCUGUGCAUCCCCCAGAAGUGGGGUUCAGAAAACCCCCUCACCCCAAGGAUUUUCAAACCAGAAACAGCCCCUGCCCCAGACCAUGCCCCUCGCUGCCAGGCCUGGGGUGGGCAGAGGUGAGGCCACAGGACCUGGCCUGUGUCUUGGGAAGAGCCUCGGUGCCUGGUGAGGCUGGUCGAAUUGACUGACUGCCCAGGACAGGGGCCCUUUCCUCUGCACUGACCAUGGAAUCCAAAGUGAGCUGCAGCUCAGCUCUGUCAUCUCCACAGCACCAGGAUGGAGCCUCCAUGCUCACUGGGUCCCAGUGAGGCCACCAUGGCCUGGUGAGGUGGCAGUCCCUCUCUGGUGCAAUGAGCAAAGCGUAUCACCUGCCUGGUCGAGGAAGCUUCUCAGAGAGACGAAAUCAGUGUUUGAGAGACAGCAAGCGCCUUGCAGGCUGGCCCUGCUGCGGUGUCCUGGCCACACCAAGCCCUUCUGGAAGCGCCGUCUGGUUGGACUUGCAUUUCCCACACAUGCAGCUACUCCAUUUCUCGCUAGCCAUGGGGUAGCCCGAUGCUGGUCGUUGUACCUGAGCUAGUCAGCUGACCCUCUGCCCUGAUGGCAGCAAUGGGAGGGUCUAGGGUAAAGGAGAGAAGGCAGCUGAAGAAGAAGCCACCUUACCCAAGUGAGAUGAGGACGCAGCCCCUUUGCAGAGGGUGUGGAGGGAGGCUGGAGGUCCUGCGCCCCAGGCAGAGGCAGGCAUCUGGAUAGCUGCAGUGCUCCUGGGACAGGCAGCAGGCAGCAGCUUUGGAUAGCCACCAGGACCCUUCCAUGGGGACGUGCUGGCCACACUGUCCUCGCCUGUCUCGUCAUCUGCCAAAUGGACAAGUGGACCACAGGAGAACUGGCUCAAGCACCUCUGCUGUCAUACUGACCCCUGUCUGCAGGCCCUGGGGCCUGGCCUCCCUGGCACAGGCCACCCCCAGGGCGAGGUUGCCCCUCAGACGCACCCACUCGUGUCUUUCCACCAGAACCACAGGAAGGCCUGAGCAGGCUUGCUAGAGCCAGGCCCUGGGGCCCACUGACCCCCUCACUCAGCUCAAGGGGUCUGGGAGGGCCAGCAGACACGGGUCAGAGCCUCUGUUUUGGCUCCAAGUUCAGGGAGUCUAGCCAGAGCCACACAGCGUCCCCGGGGACCCCUCGGGAGCGGACCCAGUCCUGAGUCAGAGGAAACACUCACUGAAUCACCAUCCACUUCCUCCCACAGCUCGGCCCAGACAAGCGGCUGCUUCCCAGGCACAAACCAGUGACAGCACUCCAAAGGGGAGCCCACCGGCCCCACUCCCAUGCAUGAACCCCAAGCCCCAUCCAUGGGGCCCACCCUCCACUUUUCCAGAGUAGAGCCCCACGGCUUUAAGCAGCCCCAUCCUGUCCUGUGCUGACCUGGCCAUGCUAUUUCUCACUUCCCUCUUCAGGGCACAGCCACACUUUCCAAAUGCCAUGAGUCAUCACCACCACCAACGACUCCUGAGUGGGGCCGGAAACCGCCAAGCGCCAGACCUGGACAGCAACUCCCACUGUGCCCCCCCCGCCCAGCCGCUGGUCAUGGUGGCACAGGGCCACAGGGAAACUGCUGGGCAGAACUGCCCCUCAUGCACUCAGCCACCCCAUCGUCCUCAGGGAGAACUCAUCCACCCUCAAGAUAACUUAUGGGCAGCUCUUGGGUGCACUGGCAGAGGUGAAGUCAUCAUCUAAUCCAAAGAGGCGGAAGAAGGGGUAGGCUGGGCCCAGACCCAGGGUGGUCAGAUGAGAGAAGAUCCAUCAGCAGGACAUGGGCAGCCCUCCAUGGCGCCACAAUUAUACAAUAAAUGUCACCCUGUCAACCAAGGCUCUUAAUGCCCAGAACCAUAUGCCUUUUAGAGGCCAUUCUGCAAGUUCCCAGGAGCAGUCACCAGGGAGGCCACAGGUCAGUCAGUCCUCUAUGAAAUGUUUUGUCCUCAAAGAGUCAUUAGACUUUUCUGCACUGGUCUCCUGGCUCCCGGCUCUCUGCAUCUGCCCUUUGUCUUAGGUUCUCCAGCAGGAUGAAACCUUGGGAAGCCAUGAUCCUGUUCCUGGGCAGCCAUAGACAGCAGCAUUCAACAGCAGUGGACCAGGGAAUGCAAAUCAACACACAAUUAAACCUCAGCCUUAACCUAUCGGACUUUAAAUAUUGCCGGGGUGGCCAGAGGCAGGGAGAUGGGCACCUUCCUUUACCUGGAUGGUUGGAAGCCUUGCACAUUUUCUGGAGGGAAUUUGACCCUGUGUGUUAAAUGAUCCAUGAUGGCCCCUUUAACUUCUUAAAUUUCUAGGAAUUUAUUCUCAACCAAAACAAAAUUGCAGAAAAAUGUAAGUGCAAAGAUAAUUAUCUCAGUGUGGUAGUCAAAUACUUACAAAUAAUAAUGAUGUUGAAAUAAAUAAAAUAAAGGUCUAUCCACAACUAAAAAAUAUUAAUAAAUAAUGACAUUAAAAACAAUCUAGAUACGAUUGAGCCAAUGAAUUAUUAUGCAGUUGAUAAAAUACUAUGCAACUGUUAAAAGUAAUGUUGGACAUUUACACCCAAAGUCAUAGAAAAAAUAUUCACCUGGCUCACUGUGUUAGAUGAGACAUAGGCAAAGAGCCACAUGUUUAGCCCAUGUAGGUAAAAGUGUGAGUGUUCAGGUCUAAGAAACACACAAGGGCUGGAGUUGUGGCUCAGUGGUACAGCGCUUGCCUAGCACGUGCGGACGAGUUUUGUACCACUGGGUACCACUUAUUUUUACUUAUUUUAUUUACUUUAAAUUAAAUUUACAUAAAAAUAAGUAAAUGAAAUAAAUAUAUUUUAAAAAUUUAUUUUAAAAAAAAGAAAAAGAAACACACAAGUGAUGAUCAAAUUGUGAAGGUCACCUCUGCAGAGUGGGAUUCGGGGAUGGUUUUAACUUUCUUCUUCACAUUUUCUGUAUUUCUUAAAAUUGUCCACAAUAAAUAUGAAUCACUUUUUCAACAGGAA